GAUGAACGCUAGCGGCAGGCUUAACACAUGCAAGUCGAGGGGCAUCGGGAGGGAAGCUUGCUUUCCUUGCCGGCGACCGGCGCACGGGUGAGUAACACGUAUGCAACCUGCCCUCUUCAGGGGGACAACCUUCCGAAAGGGAGGCUAAUCCCGCGUAUAUCGGUUUCGGGCAUCCGUUAUCGAGGAAAGAUUCAUCGGAAGAGGAUGGGCAUGCGGCGCAUUAGCUAGACGGCGGGGUAACGGCCCACCGUGGCGACGAUGCGUAGGGGUUCUGAGAGGAAGGUCCCCCACAUUGGAACUGAGACACGGUCCAA
rnacentral:rRNA from 1 species